rnacentral:rRNA from 1 species
UACGGAGGAUCCGAGCGUUAUCCGGAUUUAUUGGGUUUAAAGGGAGCGUAGGUGGAUUGUUAAGUCAGUUGUGAAAGUUUGCGGCUCAACCGUAAAAUUGCAGUUGAAACUGGCAGUCUUGAGUACCGGAGAGGUCAUCGGAAUUCCUUGUGUAGCGGUGAAAUGCGUAGAUAUAAGGAAGAACACCAGUGGCGAAGGCAGCUCACUAGACUGCAACUGACACUGAUGCUCGAAAGUGUGGGUAUCAA